UACGUAGGGUGCAAGCGUUAAUCGGAAUUACUGGGCGUAAAGCGUGCGCAGGCGGUUUUUGUAAGACAGAUGUGAAAUGCCCGGGCUUAACCUGGGAACUGCAUUUGUGACUGCAAGGCUAGAGUUUGGCAGAGGGGGGUAGAAUUCCACGUGUAGCAGUGAAAUGCGUAGAUAUGUGGAGGAAUACCGAUGGCGAAGGCAGCCCCCUGGGUCAAGACUGACGCUCAUGCACGAAAGCGUGGGGAGCAAACAGG
rnacentral:rRNA from 1 species